rnacentral:lncRNA from 1 species
UCGCCUCUUCCUCGCUUUGGCCUCCUGAUAAGAACACAAUCCCCGGCACUGCCGGUGGAACGGUUCGGCGAAGUGCGGUUACUGUGUAUUGCGCAAUCACCUCUUGUGCCACCUGUGGCGAAUCGGUACAUGGUUUUUCAGACAUCAGUAUAAUAUAGGAAUUUCAUUGAUCGUAUAUAUGAGAUAACAUAUGGGUUUUUACACUACCUUUGGGCUGUCAGAACCUGGAGUGACCAUGUUGGGCUUCAAAAGGGUGCCCUCGAGUAAAACAUGGUGAUCAUUCAGCGCCUUGUAAACAGCGGCAAGCACGGUUUCAGUGACAGCGGCACAUUUUUUAAUAUCAUGAGGG